UAAAGUUUAUAGCCUUAUUGAAAACGAAAAAAUAUUAAUACAAUAAUUAUGAAUAUGAAGUUUUUUAUUUUAUUGUGUCUAACAUUUUUUACUCAAUCAGUCAACUCUGCUGGGAAGAUAACAAAACAGGAAAGAGAGACCCUAAAUUGCUUUUUUCAAGAGAUAUUAGAUUAUGUCAAUGCUGACCGUACUCAUUCAGACCAAAUAAAUGCCAUAACACUACAACAGUUUUUGGAUAAUGUGGGUACAGGUACCAGAGAAACUGCGGAGAAUGCGGCAGCGGAAUGUGUUGGUACCACAGAGGACGGACAAGUGCCACUUGACCGUACUAUAGGAAAAGUUGCUUUUAAUAAACUAGUAGCAAAUAUCUGUCAAAAAUUACAAAUAACAAUAGAUGCAUACGCACGUCCAAUAAGGGAGGCAAUAGCUACAAAACACGUUCAGUUUUUACAAUCAAGACAAUAAUUGAAGAUUUAAAAUCUUUGUUAA